AUAUAAAUACCAUCUAGAAGUGUUACUACAACUAACUUUAUUCCUUUUUAACAGAUGGAGAAUCUUAUGCAUUUUAUGGAAAUAGCACAGCUAUGACUUGCCAUCAGUUCAGCCAGCAGUCAAGCAAAGAAUGGAGCUCAGUUUUGCAAAGUCUGUCCAGGAAUAUAUCUACUAGAUUGCUUUACCCCUGAAUGAGAAGUUUGCCUUCAUUUUCUUACUAAGAUUUGGUCUGGAACCAACUAGCAACUGCAGCAGUUUCUGCUCUGGCUUCACAACCCAGUGUUAUGAAAAACAUGCUGAACAAAACAGAGAAAUGAAGAGAUGUACUAUUCCCAGUCUGAAAGGCAAGCUGAAACUCUUGAGGAGAGAGAGACAGGACAGCAAAAACCUUUCCCAGUGCCUAUGAAAAACAUCAGAAUAUAAUAAUAUAGCUUUGAAAACUUACAAAGUGAACCCAAAACUUGAUAGCAAACAUAAUAAGGAAGGGAAGCUCAUAAAUGAGGAAUACCAUUUAUAUAUGGAACCUCUUCUUAAGAGAUCUUGAGUAGCAUCUGGCACAACUAAGCCCUUAAAAUAUCACGACUGUUAAUUUGUUUACAAAGGACUUA
rnacentral:lncRNA from 1 species